rnacentral:rRNA from 1 species
AUUGAACGCUGGCGGCAGGCCUAACACAUGCAAGUCGAGCGGUAGAGAGGUGCUUGCAUCUCUUGAGAGCGGCGGACGGGUGAGUAAUGCCUAGGAAUCUGCCCUAGUGGUGGGGGAUAACGUUCGGAAACGGACGCUAAUACCGCAUACGUCCUACGGGAGAAAGCGGGGGAUCUUCGGACCUCGCGCCAUUAGAUGAGCCUAGGUCGGAUUAGCUAGUUGGUGAGGUAAUGGCUCACCAAGGCGACGAUCCGUAACUGGUCUGAGAGGAUGAUCAGUCACACUGGAACUGAGACACGGUCCAGACUCCUACGGGAGGCAGCAGUGGGGGGAAUUUUGGACAAUGGGCGCAAGCCUGAUCCAGCAAUGCCGCGUGCAGGAUGAAGGCC